rnacentral:rRNA from 1 species
UACGGAGGGUGCAAGCGUUAUCCGGAUUUACUGGGUUUAAAGGGUGCGUAGGUGGGUAAGUAAGUCAGUGGUGAAAUCUCCGAGCUUAACUCGGAAACUGCCAUUGAUACUAUUUAUCUUGAAUUUUCUGGAGGUGAGCGGAAUAUGUCAUGUAGCGGUGAAAUGCUUAGAUAUGACAUAGAACACCUAUUGCGAAGGCAGCUUACUACGCAGAUAUUGACGCUCAUGCACGAAAGCGUGGGGAUCAAACAGG